rfam:Panulirus interruptus Shaw potassium channel (shaw 1 (Kv3)) mRNA, complete cds.
GUUGGUUAUGGGGAUAUGGCACCCAAGACUUAUGUGGGUAUGUUUGUUGGUGCCCUGUGUGCCCUUGCUGGUGUGUUGACAAUUGCGCUACCAGUACCAGUCAUUGUGUCCAAC